GGGUAAAAGCCUACCAAGGCCACUAUCUUUAGCUGGGCUGAAAGGAUGAUCAGCCACAUCGGGACUGAAACACGGCCCGAACUCCUACGGGAGGCAGCAGUGGGGAAUAUUGGACAAUGGGGGCAACCCUGAUCCAGCAAUACCGCGUGUGUGAAGAAGGCCUGAGGGUUGUAAAGCACUUUCAAUUGUGAAGAAAAGUUA
rnacentral:rRNA from 1 species